GAUGGCUAAAUCUUGAAGACUGUA
rnacentral:siRNA from 1 species